UUGAUGGCAUUGUCUAAUUCUUUGCAGGUAGAGGGUGGCCCAAAUUCCCCUGAAGAAGAUUUGAGUCCAGUUAGAGGAAAUAUCACCUUUCCCCUGGGGAGAGCAACAGUAAUCUAUAACUUGACAGUACUUGAUGAUGAGGUGGGACAAUUUUAAACAUUCAGAGGAGAGAAGGACUCUUGUCUGUGUAAUAAGAGAGCCUAUUCCAAGUGUUAAUUUUUGUUCAGUAUUUGAAAUUAUUUAGGAAUACAAUAUAAGAAUAUGUCUUUUGUAAAGUUUGUGUAUUGUGUUUGUGUUAGCUUUUUCAUUGCUAUGACAAAAUACCUAAGAGAAAAAUCUCAAAAGAGAAAAGAUUUCUUUUGGGUCAUGGUUUCAGAGGUUUCAGUCACUGUUGACUGGCUCCAUUGCUCACACCUGUGGUGAGGCAGAGCAUCAUGGUGGAAAGGGUAUGGGAGGAACAAAGCUGCUUACCUUGUGGCAGCCAGAGAGCAGAGAGAGAAGUCAGGGGUGGGGCGGGGAAGGACUGGGGACAUUCCCCAACACAUGCCCCCUGAGGCCUGACUCCCUUUACAUAGGUUCUACCUUCUACAGUUUCUUCCACUCCAGAUAGCCCAUUGAGCUGUGACUCCAAGGGAUUAAUCCAUUGAUGAGGUCAGAGCCUUCACAGUCACUUUCCAAAAGCCUCAUCUCUGAACCCUGCUGCACCGGGGCCCAAGAUUUUACAGGUCUAAUCCAUAAUAGCAGCCAAUCAUACUUAAGUAUGAACUCUUUACCAAUUGCCUUACUAACUUUUACAUUGCUAUAUGAAACAGGCUAUUUACCUUUGGAAAAUAGUUUAAUAAAUGGAGACUAUUUGCUCCCUUCAGUUACAGACUUUUUAAAAAUUUCUGAUUGAUUGUAUUGAAACAGUGACUUUUUAUACUUUGGUUUCUUUGCUGAUGUUUUGACUAUUGAUGUUUUGCUACUAUUAAUGUUCCUUUUCCAGGUACCAGAAAAUGAUGAAAUAUUUUUUAUUUACCUGACAAGUUUAGAAGGAGGAGCUGAGAUUAACACAUCUAGGAAUUCAGUUGAGAUUAUCAUCAAGAAAAAUGAUGCUCCCGUGAGAUUCAUUCAGAGUGUUUACUUGGUGCCUGAGGAAGACCACGUACUCAUAAUUCCAGUGGUUUGUGGAAAGGAUAACAAUGGAAAUCUGAUUGGAUCUGAUGAAUAUGAAGUUUCAAUCAGAUAUACAAUUAAAACUGGGAAUUCAACAGCACAUGCGCAGCAAAAUUUAGACUUCAUUGAUCUUCAGCCAAACACAACUAUUGUUUUCCCACCUUUAAUUCAUGAAUUCCACUUGAAAUUCCAAAUAGUUGAUGACACCAUACCAGAGAUUGCUGAAUCUUUUCAUAUUAUGUUGCUAAAGGACACCUUACAGGGAGAUGCUGUGCUAGUAGGCCCUUCUAUUGUUCAGGUUACCAUUAAGCCAAAUGACAAACCUUAUGGAGUCCUCUCAUUCAACAGCAUCUUGUUUGAAAGGCCGGUUAUAAUUGAUGAAGACACAGUGUCAAGGUAUGAUUUACUUUAAAUUUAUUGCUACAAUUAUAUUAAUAUAUUUUUAUAAGAUUUAAUUUUUUGAGGUGUUGGAUACAACAUUGAAUUGUUGGGUAUGAGUCGUUUUCUCUGCAUGGCUUCCCUGUUUCCUUUGUAUUUUGAAUAUGAUUUAACUAUGCAAAUGAACUCAUAUUAUGGUCAUCUCCCAGGAUACCUCCACAUAUCUACUCCUUCAUUCCUUAGGUAUACAGGGUUAAUUAUUGUUUGUGACGGACUCUGCUUUUACCACUACAGUAUAUAAGGGCCAACUUGAUGUUGGGAGAACCUAUCUAAGGGAAAUUGUAUGAUGUGACAAUAUAUUCCUUUUUAAAAUUCUAGAUUUGAAGAAAUUACAGUGGUUAGGAAUGGUGGGACCCACGAGAAUGUUUCUGUGAACUGGGUGUUGACACGCAACAGCAGUGAUCCCUCACCGGUGACAGCAGAUAUCAGACCAAGUUCUGGGGUUCUCCAUUUUUCACAAGGGCAGAUGUUGGCCUCAAUUCCUUUUACCAUUGUUAAUGAUGAUCUCCC
rnacentral:lncRNA from 1 species